GUGCAAGAGGUGAGUUUAGCAGAACAUUCUGGAAAGUAUAGCCAUAGAGGGUGAUAGUCCCGUAUGCGAAAAACAAACCUUAGCUAGCAGUAUCCUGAGUAGGGCGGGACACGAGGAAUCCUGUCUGAAUCCGGGUCGACCACGAUCCAACCCUAAAUACUAAUACCAGAUCGAUAGUGCACAAGUACCGUGAGGGAAAGGUGAAAAGAACUGAGGUGAUCAGAGUGAAAUAGAACCUGAAACCAUUUGCUUACAAUCAUUCAGAGCACUAUGUAGCAAUACAGUGUGAUGGACUGCCUUUUGCAUAAUGAGCCUGCGAGUUGUGGUGUCUGGCAAGGUUAAGCAAACGCGAAGCCGUAGCGAAAGCGAGUCUGAAUAGGGCGCUUAGUCAGAUGCUGCAGACCCGAAACGAAGUGAUCUAUCCAUGAGCAAGUUGAAGCUAGUGUAAGAACUAGUGGAGGACUGAACCCAUAGGCGUUGAAAAGCCCCGGGAUGACUUGUGGAUAGGGGUGAAAGGCCAAUCAAACUUCGUGAUAGCUGGUUCUCUCCGAAAUAUAUUUAGGUAUAGCGUUGUGUCGUAAUAUAAGGGGGUAGAGCACUGAAUGGGCUAGGGCAUACACCAAUGUACCAAACCCUAUCAAACUCCGAAUACCUUAUAUGUAAUCACAGCAGUCAGGCGGCGAGUGAUAAAAUCCGUCGUCAAGAGGGAAACAACCCAGACUACCAGCUAAGGUCCCUAAAUCUUACUUAAGUGGAAAACGAUGUGAAGUUACUUAAACAACCAGGAGGUUGGCUUAGAAGCAGCCAUCCUUUAAAGAAAGCGUAAUAGCUCACUGGUCUAGUGAUUUUGCGCGGAAAAUAUAACGGGGCUAAAGU
rnacentral:rRNA from 1 species